CCAGCCAAAAAUGUUUCUUUUCUCUUGUUUUCAUUUUUCACUCUCUAUGUUCAUUAUUUGAAUUUUCUAAGAUUGAAUGAGAAGCAUAGUAGGGUUGACAAAAUGACAAAGAGAGAAAGAUAAGAUAGAGAGAAAGUGGGACUUUUGUUUACAAUGAUCUUGCUAAGAGAAAGUGAGGCUAAAAAGAAACAAAAUGUAAAUUACAAAAGCAGAGAAAACGUGAAGACCACUACCCUUUUUCUUUUUCUUCCUCCUUUUUAGACUUUGCUUUGUCAUUUAGGUACAUCUUGGUUGGUCCCUAUUGCUAGUGAUGCAUUGAACAACAAAACCGCCAAUAUCUUUUUCUUUUUUUCUAGUUUUUAUGCAACUUCAAUGUUCAAAUAUCUUCUAUAUAUAGGAUCUAGAUUAACACUAGUGGAAAAAACACGUGAUUUCAUGCGGUAAAUGAUAUUGGCCGUUCAUAUGAAAUCGGAGGGUUUAAAUUACACAAUAACAAAUCAGUUUUAAACGAUCUCGGACAUUAAUUUAAGAUCAGGUGGUUGAGAUCGAAAAACCGUGUGAUGCAGUUAAUGCACCAAAUCUAAAUCCAUGUAGAUAUUUAUUGGCAUCUUAGACAUUUUUUUGACAAAGAUGGGAGCUAAUUAGGUGGUUUAUGAAAAGACCAUGUUACUAUGACCACUUCCUUAUUCAAGCAAAUAUAAUAAGCACUUUAUAAUGAAUACAUAUGCAUCAAGCUAAAUUGUUUACUUGAGAUUAGGCAUGUUGUUUGCUACUCCAUGUUAUGUUAUAUGUGGA
rnacentral:lncRNA from 1 species